UGGUUCUGGCAUCGAUGAAGAACGCAGCGAAAUGCGAUAAGUAAUGUGAAUUGCAGAAUUCAGUGAAUCAUCGAAUCUUUGAACGCACAUUGCGCCCUUUGGUAUUCCGAGGGGCAUGCCUGUUCGAGCGUCAUUUCAACCCUCAAGCUUCUGCUUGGUAUUGGGCUCUCGUCCGUUUACUGGACGUGCCUGAAACUCAUAGGCGGUUGUGCUCAGCUCCUUAGCGUAGUCAUAUCUUAUCGCUCUGGAGGACUGGGUAUGGCCUGCCCGAGAACCCCCCAUUUUUCUCAAGUUUUGACCUCGGAUCAGGUAGGGAUACCCGCUGA
rnacentral:misc_RNA from 1 species